rnacentral:rRNA from 1 species
UGAGGAAUAUUGGUCAAUGGGCGAGAGCCUGAACCAGCCACGUCGCGUGAAGGAAGACUGACCUUACGGUUUGUAAACUUCUUUUGUAGAGGGGUAAUGAGAGAUACGUGUAUUUGCGUGAAAGUACUCUACGAAUAAGCAUCGGCUAACUCCGUGCCAGCAGCCGCGGUAAUACGGGGGAUGCGAGCGUUAUCCGGAAUUAUUGGGUUUAAAGGGUGCGCAGGUGGCUAAUCAGGUCAGUGGUGAAAAGCUAUGGCUCAACCAUGGUCUUGCCAUUGAAACCGUAUAGCUAGAGAGGAGACGAGGUAGGCGGAAUGUGUGGUGUAGCGGUGAAAUGCAUAGAUAUCACACAGAACUCCGAUUGCGAAGGCAGCUUACCAGGCUUUAUCUGACACUUAGGCACGACAGCGUGGGGAUCAAACAGG